UUCCGGUUGAUCCUGCCGGAGGCUACUGCUAUCGGGGUUCGAUUAAGCCAUGCGAGUUAAAUGUUCUUCGUGAACAUAGCGAACUGCUCAGUAACACGUGGAUAACCUACCCUUAGGACCGGAAUAACCCCGGGAAACUGGGGAUAAUACCGGAUAAGCCAUAGACGCUGGAAUGCCCUAUGGUUCAAAGCUCCGGCGCCUAAGGAUGGAUCUGCGGUCUAUCAGGUUGUAGUGGGUGUAACGUACCUACUAGCCGACGACGGAUACGGGUUGUGAGAGCAAGAGCCCGGAGAUGGAUUCUGAGACACGAAUCCAGGCCCUACGGGGUGCAGCAGGCGCGAACACUUUACAAUGCGGGAAACCGCGAUAAGGGAACCCCGAGUGCCAGCAUCAAAUGUUGGCUGUCCAGAUGGUUAAAAAUCAUUUGUUAGCAAGGGCCGGGCAAGACCGGUGCCAGCCGCCGCGGUAACACCGGCGGCCCGAGUGGUAGCCGUUUUUAUUAGGUCUAAAGGGUCCGUAGCCGGCCUGAUAAGUCCUUUGGGAAAUCUGACAGCUUAACUGUCAGGCUUCUAAGGGAUACUGUCAGGCUUGGGACCGGAAGAGGUAAGGGGUACUCCAGGGGUAGGAGUGAAAUCUUGUAAUCCCUGGGGGACCAUCUGUGGCGAAGGCGCCUUACCAGAACGGGUCCGACGGUGAGGGACGAAAGCUAGGGGAGCAAACCGGAUUAGAUACCCGGGUAGUCCUAGCUGUAAACGAUGCUCGCUAGGUGUCAGACACGGUGCGACCGUGUUUGGUGCCGCAGGGAAGCCGUUAAGCGAGCCACCUGGGAAGUACGGUCGCAAGGCUGAAACUUAAAGGAAUUGGCGGGGGAGCACUACAACGGGUGGAGCCUGCGGUUUAAUUGGAUUCAACGCCGGG
rnacentral:rRNA from 1 species